AUGGUAUAUGAAGCAGCAUCAUUGUUUGAUGUGAUCGCUUUCACUAAUAAUGUAUCACUGUGGUACACUUUUGGUGGAGGAACAAAACUCAGCAUCAAGGGUCCCACUGUGAAGCCCUCCGUGUCUCUGCUCCAUCCAUCGUCUCUGCAGCUCUCUGAGGGACCGGCCUCACUGCUCUGCCUGCUGUCUGCCUACUCUCCACAGGGGGCGACGGUGAGCUGGACAGUGGACGGCUCAGUGGUGAACGAAGGAGUUCUAACCAGUCCUGAAGAACAGAAGAAGGACGGUUACACACGCAGCAGCACCCUGACCCUCAGCAAAGCGCUCUGGGAAAAGGGGGAGGAGUUUGUCUGUACCGUCUCCCAUGACAGUGUCAAUCAUCCGGUCACAUUCAGAAAGAGCCAGUGUGAAGACUAACAGCUCCAAGAUAGAAUUAAACACUGAGCUGCUCACACAUCCAUCUACAAUAGAGUUUCAAUUCUACACAAUGCUGAUAUUCCUGUCUUUACUCUCUUCACUGUCCUGUUGCUCUUCCUGUAGUUUUGCUCUGCUGAAAUAAAGCUUCAUUUUGGA